CAUGUCCACAGCCAUAAAUCUUAGGACCAAGAUCUUCCAGGCAUGGCCCCUGGACAAGGGAAGCUUCCCACUGAAACUUUUCAAUAAAUAUGAAAGCCUAAAGAGAAAUUUAUGAGGUGCCUUCAUGAUAAUAAAUGUGAAAAUAUUUUGCAGAAGAAUAAAUCAAAAGCAUAUUCAGAAUGCAGAAUGGAGAGACAACAAAAGGCGUAAAAACCAAGAGGAACACUAGGAUUUGGAGAUUUGAUAGAAAAUCAUAGACAAAAAUAA
rnacentral:lncRNA from 10 species